GAUGUUUUGUCUUUUGUUGACACGUUGUCGAGUAACCAAUUCGGCAGUCAUCGCACACGACCAGAGGUUAACGUAAUCACUUACGUAAAUACGAAGCUAAAACAUUGACACUCAAAAGCUGCAAACUGUUUACAAAGUGAAAACAAUCGAGGGCACCCGCGUACGUGCAAACUUUCCUGAUCAGUUGGCUGACGGUUGUUAAGAUGCUCUCGGUUACAAUACUUUCAUUAUUAGCUGAAUGAAUGUUUCUUCCCGUGUAUUCGGUCGUGUUCAUACAGCACUCGGCGAGUCUUGUACAAUUACGAUGGUCUGGAGACUGUGCAACCUUUUAUUGACAGCGUAAAGCCUGAAAAGGGUGUGAUCUGAAAGUUUCCGAAGUCUCCAGCGGACAUCAAUGCAGACAAAGAAAUAGCGAGUGCAAUUAGAAUUGGCAUCAAAGCAUGCGUGGUGAUGAUUCCCCUAUUGGGUGUCAGGUGGUAUUCGGUCUCCUCUCGCCUGUACAUGAAACUUUCGUUUACGUCUUCACCAUACUCAACUCUGCUCAAGUCAGUAUUCGCUGGGUUUCCUAAUUUUCGCUCUACACUGCAUGCGAAACAUUCAGAUCAGAGAGCGAUUCAAAAGAAAGAUGAACAUCGUUUUUCCAUCUUCUUUAAAGAACAACUCCACAAGGAAGAGCCACAGGUCAAUCCAAAUGAGGUUGGGGAUGUAUGGGCAAUUGAAUUGCUGUCUUGUGCUGAGUUUGAAUCGAAAUCGCAC